rnacentral:rRNA from 1 species
GACGAACGCUGGCGGCGUGCUUAACACAUGCAAGUCGAACGGAAAGGCCCUGCUUUUGUGGGGUGCUCGAGUGGCGAACGGGUGAGUAACACGUGAGUAACCUGCCCUUGACUUUGGGAUAACUUCAGGAAACUGGGGCUAAUACCGGAUAGGAGCUCCUGCUGCAUGGUGGGGGUUGGAAAGUUUCGGCGGUUGGGGAUGGACUCGCGGCUUAUCAGCUUGUUGGUGGGGUAGUGGCUUACCAAGGCUUUGACGGGUAGCCGGCCUGAGAGGGUGACCGGCCACAUUGGGACUGAGAUACGGCCCAGACUCCUGCGGGAGGCAGCAGUGGGGAAUAUUGCACAAUGGGCGGAAGCCUGAUGCAGCAACGCCGCGUGUGGGAUGACGGCCUUCGGGUUGUAAACCGCUUUCGCCUGUGACGAAGCGUGAGUGACGGUAAUGGGUAAAGAAGCACCGGCUAACUACGUG